rnacentral:rRNA from 1 species
UGAGGAAUAUUGCACAAUGGGCGCAAGCCUGAUGCAGCAACGCCGCGUGCGGGACGAAGGCCUUCGGGUCGUAAACCGCUUUUCUGGGGGAAGAGCAAGGACGGUACCUCAGGAAUAAGCAUCGGCUAACUCCGUGCCAGCAGCCGCGGUAAUACGGAGGAUGCGAGCGUUAUCCGGAUUUAUUGGGUUUAAAGGGUGCGCAGGCGGGAUUUUAAGUCAGCGGUGAAAUUUUCAGGCUCAACCUGAACACUGCCGUUGAAACUGGGAUUCUUGAGUAUGGAUGAAGUAGGCGGAAUUCGUUGUGUAGCGGUGACAUGCUUAGAUAUAACGAGGAACUCCGAUUGCGUAGGCAGCUUACUAAGCCAUAACUGACGCUCAAGCACGAAAGCGUGGGGAUCAAACA